rnacentral:rRNA from 1 species
UACGGAGGGGGCUAGCGUUGUUCGGAAUUACUGGGCGUAAAGCGCGCGUAGGCGGACCUGCAAGUCGGGGGUGAAAGCCCGAGGCUCAACCUCGGAACUGCCUUCGAUACUGCGGGUCUCGAGUCCGGGAGAGGUGAGUGGAAUUCCUAGUGUAGAGGUGAAAUGCGUAGAUAUUGGGAGGAACACCAGUGGCGAAGGCGGCUCACUGGACCGGUUCUGACGCUGAUGCGCGAAAGCGUGGGGAGCAAACGGG